CUUGGUAAAGCCAUAAACAGUUAACAGUCAGACUGCAUCUCAGCUCUAUCAAGAUGGAUCUCCAAAGCAGGUGAUGAAUAGUUUUAUUUGGGGGAUAUAUUAACUUUUACUAUUGGGGGAAAGUUUUAGAUUGGUUUGCCAGUUUGUAACCCAUUAUGUUGAGGCCAAUAGAUAUAUAUUCACAACCCUUUACCCAUCAAAUAAUCAACUUUAUGUGUGACUUUGGGACUGAUUCAUAUAACCACAUUUCCUUUCUCAACUCUAUAGCAGCUUUUUCUCUGUAUUUGGAAAGAUAACCAAGAAGGAGAAGAUAAGGAACCAGGAAUAAGAUCUGGAUGAGUAUGGUGAAGAUCUAAGCUUGACAAGUGAGGGGGCUAGGAAGAUUGCUUUGUGGUCCAGCAUAGGAAUGAUGGGUGCUUCAUAUUACAUAUUGAAUUCCUAUUCCACAAAGAAGAAGCCUACUCUGGAAUAACAUCCAAUGCACAAUUCUGCUCAUAUUAUUAUUAUUAUUAUUAUUAUUAUUAUUAUUAUUAUUAGUUUGUAUGUGGGUGUACUGGUUUUCCAAAUAAAAAUUCAUCUGAGGUAGCUUACAUAUUAAGAGUACAUUAGCUUUAACUUCCAAAGAGCAAUUUAAUUUCCAAACUGUGUAUGACAAAGUUAAUAAAUUCAGCAGUAUAAGAUCCUAAAGCCCCUCUUCCUGUUGUGGCUUAAACAUAUUCUGCAAGGCCUUCUAAAAACAAAUAAACAGUAAUGCAGGGGGUGAGCCUGUUGCCUGGGAGUAGUGGUAGAAGGUAUCUGGAAAAAGUUACUAGAAUCUAUUGGGAGACUCCCCUUCUAUGGAUGGAAUACCUAUUCAAAUGAAGGACAGGAUAAGGACAUAUGAUCCUGUUGAACAAGAUGUAGUAAGUCACUACAGUCAUACCUCAUGUUGUGUCCGCUUCAGGUUACAUCUUUUCAAGUUGCGUCCCACAGCAACCCGGUAGUACCAGAAUGUUUACUUCUGGGUUUUGCCACUCGCGCAUGGGUAGAAGCGCUAAAUCAUGCUUCACACAUGCGCAGAAGUGCUAAAUCGCACCGCACACAUGCGCAGACACAGUGCUUCUGGAUGUGAAUGCUUCAAAUUGCGGAUGUGUCUCCGGGACGGAUUACGUCCGCAACUCGAGGUUCCACUCUCUGUGUUUUCUGUGACAGUAUUCUAUUUUCUUCUUUCACUUGCUAUAGGAAUAACUCCCCUCUUAUCUCUUAACAGAGCCACAGAUCUGUUUUUCCCACCUGUUGCUCUGGCUCUCCCAUUAUUUCCCAACUUCCCCCCUCAUCUGCCUUUGUGUUGUGACUUCCUGCAAACCCCUGUUGUAAAUCCAUAUUGUCCUCCUCUUCCUCCUCCCUGGAAGGCUCAGUAUGAGGAGCUGGUCUCCACAAUUCCUCCUCUGCCCAGUCCCUGACAGCAGAGUAGGCAUAAAAGCCAUAGAUAGCCCACUGGCUCAGAGACAUUAUAGGACACUACAGUCUGAUGCACCAUGUGAGGAAAGCAGAAGGGGGCUAGGAAGAAGCAUCCUCUCCACACUUCUGAGCAUGUUUUUCCUUUCUUGGGAGUUUAGGGGAGUUGGAGCUGGAUGCCAGCAUCCCAAAAUGGCUAUUGUAUGUAUGCUGUAUUAUGUUCAUGCUAUUAAAUAAGGAGCAAUCUAAAGCAGGAGUGGGGUUACCCCUGCCCUCCAGAUGUUGAUGGAACCAAUCCCCAUCACCUCUGACCCUUGGACAUGCUGCUUAAGAGUGAUGGGAGUUGGAGUCAAGCAAUAUCCAGAAGGCCACAUUUUAAACUCCCUGAUCCAAAAAGCUCUGAAGCUUCUUGCUGUGAUCAGCAUGUACAAAAGCUGGGUAGGCCAGCUGUAAAAUGAGAGCCAGUGUGGUGUAGUGGUUAAGAGCGGAGGACUCGUAAUCUGGUGAACUGGGUUCGCUUCCCCGCUCCUCCACAUGUAGCUGCUGGGUGACCUUGGGCUAGUCACACUUCUUUGAAAUCUCUCAGCCUCACUCACCUCACAGAGUGUUUGUUGUGGGGGAGGAAGGGAAAGGAGAAUGUUAGCCACUUUGAGACUCCUUCGGGUAGUGAUAAAGUGAGAUAUCAAAUCCAAACUCUUCUUCUUCUUAUCUGAAUCCCCAGGAGUGUGGAAUCAGUGAAAAAUAGGCAUUUCCCCAUGGCCAAUUGUGGGAGCCAUUCUGAAAAUUCCUGUUCAGCUCCUAGGAUUGGUUGGCUGACCAAAAGUGCUAUAUUAUGUGAGGCAGAGUUGCCAACUUGUGAGGGAAGUUGGUGGGAGGUUGGCGUCAUGUCAGGGCAUUGGGAGAAACCAGGGGCAGAGUCAACAGGAGGAGGAGAAAGAGCAGGCCAGGCCAUUGAAACCCCAAUGUGCUUGGAUCUAUGCUUGGCCUACUCCACCCCCUGAUAUUUUCAUGCAUUGGGGGGUUGGCCCCCUCCCAAAAAUAUUGGGGGAGGGAAUGGCUUGGCCCUCAGGAGUUGGCACCUUGGGUGUGAGAGGCUUCCUUUAGGACAGAAACACUGCUGAGGAAGACCCUCCCCAGUAGCUGUACAAGUACCCAAGGCGUACCUGAUGUCUUCACCCCACCCAAGACGGGAGAAAUGGGCCCCUAGUCUACAAGCCGGAGAAUAACUUUGUGAAGACUUCCAAAACAUCUCUCACUAUCUGUAUCUCACAAAGAUAGGAGUAAUUUGGCUCUACAUAUGCAGCCAAGUGAAGUGGUAAAGCCCAGACAUAGUAGAAUAGACUGUACUACUUUGGACUGUUGAUAGUGUUUGGGGUGUGCCAAUUAUAAUGCAAUAUAUAUCAGCUUUCUUUUCCUAGGUGUGAUUAGGCAGCAUAACAGAUUAGGUUGCAUGGUGCAUUCCAUAAAGGAAAGCCCACUAUUUGAGUAAUUCAGAAGCCUAUUCCAGCCCUAAUGACACCUUGACCACCGCACUUCAUUUUCCAGCAUGUCAAAAGCAUAGAAGCAUUGUUCAUUGUCCUCUUGCAACAACACAGUCCUUGUUGAAUUAAUAACUGGCUGCCUACUCGUAAUUCAGAGAAUAUUCUCCACGGCCUUGUUGAAAAAGAUUCAAGUCAGAAUGAGUCUAUUCUUUUCUCUCACUGAGCCAAACUGACAUCGGUCCUGGAGAGAAGGCGACAGAGGAAAUAGGAUAUGAAUCAGGGUGUGCCAUCCAUAUCAGACUCGCAUGCUGGUCGUGUAAUAGAUAUUGAUGGGCUCCCACUGUGGGGCAGUUUGCCACUCUUAGGGGCUCCACACUGUUGUAUUUAUGACACCUGCUGCCAAGAGAAAAAGAGAUUCAUAUUUCAAAGCCUUUUUUUUAGAAGGUAAGAUCCAGACAGUCUUGAAAAGUGAAGAUAGACAUAAUAUUAAAUCGCAAUGAGUUCUUCACCCCACAGUGCAUGCUUAGCUGUGAAAUUUCCAUUGCAGGCCGACAUACAAGCAAAUAAAAAUGCAAAUAUAAUGACACAGUGAUGGUAUGGGGGCAAAUCUUGUUUCAACUGAAUGUGCCGUAGAUAGAGCCUGGGGAGUAUGAAGGAUCAUGUCAGCCUCUGGACAAUCCACAGCCACUUCCUGUAGCCACUAUUUAGAACUCAGCCCCGGAAAGGGAGAUUUAGGUCUGAAUUAAACACCAGAAAUAGCUUCUUGGCUACUGUUCUCAUGCUCACAGUGGCUAUUUAUCUACAAAGUUAAGCUUUUCAUGAUGCUCAUUUUCAAAACAAACACCCAAUAUGAUAUGGGGGGUGGCUCAGUUUGGUAGAGCAUGAGACUCUUAAUCUCAGGGUUGUGGGUUUGAGACCCACACUGGGCAAAAGAUUUUGCAUUGCAGAAGGUUGGAUGACCCUCAUAGUCCUUUCCAACUCUACAACUCUGUGAUUCUAUGAAAUGGAGUUGCUGGCCAUAACCUUGUCUGAAAACGAGUGCAAACAAACAAAUGUGUUAAAAUAGUCCCUUUGUGAGAAGGAGCUAUACAUACAUAAGUUGGUACAUGUGUAGGGCCCCUUAUCACAGCUGAAUAGUUGAACACCCAGCAGGCACAUAGCAGUAGGUGGGCAAGGUCACCAUGGUGUUUUGUCCAUGCCACUCUAUGACACCUGCCCCUACGUCCCUUGUAACAAUCCAUCGGACAACACACAUAACCUGCACAGUUAUCUUUUGCCAUUCAGUAUAUACAUUACCCAUUGUCCUUAAGUCUGGUUUGUCUCCUUCAAGUCCUGGAGUCCAUAUGAUAAUAUUCUGUGGUCCCUACGAAGUGUAGUGAAGCAAUAUGGGAGAAACAGUCUACAGCUGUGUGCAAAUGGCCUCUCAAAAUCCUCCUUCCUAUUUGCUGACAACCAACAAAUCGGGGUGGGGCCUAUUUCACCAACAUAUUCCAGGGCGAGGAGACAUUUCUCAGAGGUGGGACUCAGUAUCAGAAGUGAGAGUUGCACAGGAGCUGCUCCCCCUUCCAAUUUCCACAGGCCCCUCAUUUACCUUUCUCCACAACCUUCUUUUCUCUGACAAUGUCCCUUGCAUUAGAUAGAGGAUAGGGAAGGGCCCAUGAGAGCGUCUGCAGCAGCUAGUGGACAGUCCUUUUAAGCUUCAUAAGGGAGCUGUUUCCAGGGGAAGAACGGCAAGGGGAAUGAGACUUUAUGCUGACCACCAGGCCAUGGCCUUUUCUACCUGCCUUGCCCCACCCUCCAGACCUAGGAGUCCUAAGGGCCUUCAGAACAGAGUUGCUGCCAUGGCCAUUAUUGUGUAUGUGUCUUUUGAUGAACUGAGGGGGAAACUAUGAGUUAUUAGGAUGGGAAGAGAGUGUGUGUAAAUUUCAACAGUGCAUAGUUACAUUGUUAACAGGAAGAUCUACACUCAUGGUUUCUAAUGUUAAGGAAGAGUUAAGGAAUGGUUAUCGUAAUGUAUUUGGACACAUAACGUUUUGCUUGUAGCAUUAAUUAACAAUGCAUUGUUAAAGUGUGACACCAGAGGGUGCUACAGAGCAAUGAGGAACCAGGCAAUAUGGAAACUGCUUUUUUACAAGACCUACAAACUAAGAUCAUGGCCAUUGGUCCCAUCACCUCCUGGCAAAUAGAAGGGGAAGAAAUGGAGGCAGUGAGAGCUUUCACUUUCUUGGGCUCCAUGAUCACUGCAGAUGGUGACAGCAGUAAUGAAAUUAAAAGACCUCAGCUUCUUGGGAGAAAAGUGAUGACAAACCUAGACAGCACCUUAAAAAGCAGAGACAUCACCUUGCCAACAAAGGUUCGUAUAGUUAAAGCUAUGGUUUUCCCAGUAGUGAUGUAUGGAAGUGAGAGCUGGACCAUAAAGAAGGCUGAUUGCCGAAGAAUUGAUGCUUUUGAAUUAUGGUGCUGGAGGAGACAUGGACUGCAAGAAGAUCAAACCUAUUCAUUCUGAAGGAAAUCAGCCCUGAAUAUUCACUGGAAGGACAGAUCCUGAAGCUUAGGCUCCAAUACUUUGGCCACCUCAUGAAAAGAGAAGACUCCCUGGAAAAGACCCUGAUGUUGGGAAAGAUUGAGGGCACAAGGAGAAGGGGACGACAGAGGAUGAGAUGGCUGGACAGUGUUCUCGAAGCUACCAACAUGAGUUUGACCAAGCUGUGGGAGGCAGUGGAAGACAGGAGUGCUGGUGUGUUCUGGUCCAUGGGGUCACGAGGAGUCGGACACGACUAAAUGACUAAACGAAAACAACAACAACAGAAGAAACAGGUAAGGAACAUUUUCAUGUUACCAGUAUGCCCUACGAUGUUUUAGAAUGAUAUAUCUAAUAUUGUUCUAACAACGUUUAAAAAGUCAGUGUAGAUCCAGCUAAUGUUGCUAAUAUUGUUUUGUGGAGCAUGAGAGCUGUAAUGCUUUGUGAAUCUUAUAAUAUGAUGUUUGCUUGGGUUGUGCUGUUUAGCUUUUUUUUCUAGUUGCUUUGUUAAUAGUCUUUUAUAGAAGGUGGUUGUUUCGUUGGUGACUUGUAAUUGUUUUACUGAUGAUUUGUUCAUUAUUGUACCCCAUUUGUGUUGCAUCUGUGGUGUUCAUUUAUUGUUUGUAAGCCGCUUUGCUACGCUUGUGAGUGAAAAGUGGCAUAUAGAAAUAUUAUGCAUGAAAAACAAACAAACCACAAAACGAAACAUUUACAUUAACUGCUCCACCAAGCUUGUCCUCCUGUUCUGCCCUCUGCUGGCCUGUGACUCUCAGAACGCCGCCCAGAAGGGAAUGUGGUGCUUCCCUUGAAAAAUGUCCUUCACUCCUGCUCUUCAUUUCGACUCACCUAUUUAUGAGUUACUGCUGUUACUCACAUGCCUCGCAGACAAUGUCAGAAUAAGCCCUCGGGGGCAAACAAGGUGUUCUCUAGAUACAUUGCAUGAAGCUAUGUAUCUCGCUUCUCUCCUCCCUCACCCGCCACUUCAUUACAGGAAUAAGGGAUAAGUGAUGCUGUUGGGAAGGCAGGGUGCAGCGAAGGGGAGUCUUGCAUCUCCCCCACUCCCAGUGGGGACACUCCCCAUAGGCUCCAUGUUACAUGUGUGUUCCAGGAGGGGGGAUUGUUCUGAAUGCACCGACAGAUAGAAGCCUUCCCUCCCCAGGCACUGCUUUCCACAUAAGGAUCACCCCCAUCCCUACAAUUUGGAAAUUGCAGCUGCAUGCUAUGUACAUUCAUAGCUCUGUAACCUGUAGCUACAUGCUACACAUGUCAGCGACAUCACACAUAGUUCGGCUAGGCACACUUUGUCACUUAACCUGUGCCCCAUAUGUGAAUUCUACAAUGGAGAAGAACAGCAGAAAAAUUCAAGUUAAUUUCAAAAAGUGGGUGUAUACUUAUGCAAAGCAAAACACUGUCACCCUUUUACUAAACAGCAUUUCCCAUAUACAGUGGUAAGGUAAAGGUAAAGGUACCCCUGCCCGUAUGGGCCAGUCGUGUCCGACUCUAGGGUUGUGUGCCCAUCUCACUUAAGAGGCCGGGGGCCAGCACUGUCCGGAGACACUUCUGGGUCACGUGGCCAGCGUGACGAAGCUGCUCUGGCGAGCCAGCACCAGCGCAGCACACGGAAACGCCGUUUACCUUCCCGCUAUAAAGCGGUACCUAUUUAUCUACUUGCACUUAGGGGUGGUUUCGAACUGCUAGGUGGGCAGGAGCUGGGACCGAAAGAUGGGAGCUCACCCCACUGCGGGGAUUCGAACGGCCGACCAUACGAUCGGCAAGUCCUAGGCGCUGAGGUUUUACCCACAGCGCCACCCACAUCCCUCAUAUACAGUGGUACCUCGGGUUAAAAACUUAAUUCGUUCCAGAGGUCUGUGCUUAACCUGAAACGGUUCUUAACCUGAAGCGUGCUUUCGUUAAUGGGGCAUUUGGUGCCACGGGCAUGCAAUUUCCAUUCUUAUCCUGGGUCAAAGUUCUUAACCGGGAGCAACCACUUCAUGGUUAGCAGAAUUUGUAACCCAAAGCAUCUGUAACACGAGGUACCACUCUCUCUCUCUCUCUCUCUCUCUGUGUGUGUGUGUGUGUGUAUUAGAUGCUGUAAUAAAAAAUGCAUGGCAGGUGACAUCAAUUAGCACUGUCCCCAGUGCAUUUCCUGGUCCUUUGUCCAGGAUAUGCUUUUAAUGCCUGAGAGACGUUGAUCACCUGCUGAGGUUCCUGGAUUCUCUGCUUGCUCUGUUUAUUUCCCACAUAGUUCAGUUAAUUAAUUUUAUGACUCAAUAACUGUUGCCCUUCAGAUCUGGCCUCAGGACAUGCUGCCAGUUCAGACUGGCUGCUGUUUUCUUACCUUGUUUUUUUCUUGCUGCUUUGACUUUGGAUCGGAGACCGUGAAGAGGAUUGCAUCCUCUGCAGGCUAUUUCAUACAGUGAACACUGGCCAUCAGGGAAUGAAGGCCAUCUCUGUACUAUAACAUUUAAAGUAGUAUCAUGUCACUUUAAACAGUCAUGGCUUCCCAGUAACUAAUCCUGGGAAUGGUAGCUUGUUAAGGGUGCCCAGAGUCAGGGCCGGCCCAAGGCAUUUCAGCACCUGUGGCAAACCCCGCAAAUGAUGUCUCCCUUGCUACCAAGGAAGAAGGGGUGAGUGAGGAUCUACACCAGGAACAAGGCAGGAAAGGAUUAACACCAGGAUUUUCUGCCCCUGGGGUCUUGCUGUCUGAGGCAGUAGUCUCACGUAACCUCAUGGGUGAGCUGCCUGACCCUACUCAGAGUUUUUCAGUGGCUCAGCACUACAAUUCCCAGAGUGGUCAAACAGUCAAUAAACCUUCCCCGGGACUUCUGAAACCGGCUGCUCUGAGAGUAAAACUUCAUUCGAUUGAAACUUGGUUUCGUGAUUCAUUUGAUAAUCACAAUUAUAGCAGAUUGGACCUAUAAACUGGCUAAUGUUGAGUUUCAGAGAUUUUGAGUUUCAGAGGUUUUGCUUCCUAAUCUUUAGGAAUAGCAAAGCAACACACACACUGUAGAUGUGUUGGUUGGAGGAGAAAAUUUAUACAUGAUUUGCUUCCUUUGCACAGAAACAGAAACAAACUUUGGUUUGUUAUGUACAAGAAUGCCAAAUCAGUGGCUCCCUUCUAUGGAAUGCUCUCCCCAGGGAGAUUCUACAGGCACCUUCACUGAAUACCUUUAGGCAAAAAUGUUCCUCUUCAACCAGGGCUUUGACUGAUUCACAUGUUUAUGCCCAGUGAUAUUUUUCUAUAUAUAUAUAUAAAAUGUUUAGGGGUACUCUCAUUUUGACUCAAGAAAAUCACCAUUUUAUAGUUCAAAUCAGGAAAAAUAAAUACAGUAAAUGGACAAAGACUCACAAAAUGUUUAGGGGUAUGCGUACCCCUGCGUACCCCCUUUUAUACCCCUUUUAAAUGUGUUUGUGGCAUGGGGUGGGGGUUAUUGGUUUUUUCCUGGUUUUUAUCAUGUACUUUGUGUUUUUAUAUUGUAUUUUUAUGUUGUGAAACGCCCUGAGAGCUGUGGAUGAAGGGUGGUAUACAAUUUUAAUUAAUCAAUUAAUUAGUUAAUAAUACCCCUCCCCAACUGAAUUCCUCCUUUCACCACCUUAAUUAAUCAGAACUGGUGUCAUUGCCAAUAUGGCCUCAAUAUACUUAUUUUUAACAAGGAAAGGAAAAGAAGAACAGACAGAGACAGGAAGAAUAAUUGGUUAACAUUCUCAUAUAUAUUUCAGAGGAGAAUUCUAGAUCUUCACUGGAAAGCUGCUUUACUUAGAAGCCUCUGACCUAGCUAGCAUUCACAGAUUUAAUUACGUAAGGAGAAAAGCACUCAUAAGAAAUAAAAAAUAUACACUUCAGAGCAGGUUGAGCAUUUUAAUUCUAGGCUUGGCUUGGUACUCGUUCAAAGAAUCAUCGUGUAUAUUUAAUGGGACAGACCGAUAAUCCAUGGAGGGCUUUUCCACAGCUGCUGGCAGAUUGAGGAAAAGGAAGAUUUGUUUGUUUUAAAAGUUUCUCUGUUGUCCCAGGACGGCAGUUCAGUGUUCACAAUGUCUAAGAUAUGAUGUCUAAGAAGUAGAUACAUUGGCAAUUCUCCGGAGAACCUCUUUGUACAUGCUCAGCAACUUUUUAAAGUGUUUGAUUAUUAUUUUUUCAUUAAAGCUGAACUAAGAUCAGAUGGAGAUAGGAGAUAAGAUAUAACUCAGUGGCAUAGCAGAAUUCAAGCCAGAGAGAGAAUGAACUUUAUCCCUUUUAGAUGAAAUGGCACACUCUUUAGAGAGAGAGAGACUGUUUAGCUAACAGCAUUGAAUUUACAUGAAUGAAACCUUUCAAGAGAGCACUUCUGAGCAUACAUUUGCCCCCAUGAUAUCUAUGAGUUUGCCUUGGGAAGGGCAAUUCAUUGAUCUGAAUAUUAAUUUAUAAAUCACUUAGCUCCUCUAAAGAGUUCAGGGAUUACCUAUAUUUCACUGUGGAUCAAUAGCCAUUAGAAAUGUACCGGUAACUUCCUGCUCUAGAUAGGGAGCCAAUCAGAAAUCUGGUAAGCAAGAAAGCUGUUAAAAUUCUCCUCAGCACUUAGUGGUUGUAGCAGACAAGUGUCUUCAGAAGCAACUGAAUGUCCAUCAAAGCAAGUUACAACUCUACAAAUCAAAUUAUUUGGGUUUUUUGCCAUAUUUUGCCUGCUGUUCAAAUGGUCUCUAGAAGCAGCUAACAAUAAAUAAAAAACAAUGCAGUAAAAAUGCAAACCAAAGCCACAUAUUACAAGAAAAUGGAAGAAAUGUCCUUCUUCAGUCAUCCAAAAUCUUCCUGAACCUGAGUGACCAUUUGUGUAUAUAAAGGUAUGUGUAUGUAUGUAUGUAUGUAUGUAUGUAUGGUGCUGGAGGAGACUCUUGAGAGUCCCAUGGACUGCAAGAAGAUCAAACAUAUCCAUUCUUAAGGAAAUCAGCCCUGAGUGCUCACUGGAAGGACAGAUCGUGAAGCUGAGGCUCUAAUACUUUGGCCACCUCAUGAGAAGAGAAGACUCCAUGGAAAAGACCCUGAUGUUGGGAAAGAUUGAGGGCACAAGAAGAAGGGGACGACAGAGGAUGAGAUGGUUGGACAGCGUUCUUGAAACUACCAACAUGAGUCUGACCAAACUGCGGGAGGCAGUGGAAGACAGGAGUGCCUGGUGUGCUCUGGUCCAUGGGGUCACGAAGAGUCGGACACGACUAAAUGACUAAACAACAAAUGUAUGUAUUUAUAUAAAACACACACUAGGGCGUAUUGCAUCACACCAAUUUUUUUAUUGAUAAGAAAUACUUUGGAAAAAACAAAAAGAAACAACUCCUAGCUGUGCUUGAUUUGUGAUGCAGAAUGCAACUACUUUAUGAUAUGAUCAUGGGACAUCCACAAAGUAUAAAAUAAUGCAGCUACAUGAAUCAUUCCCAAAAUAUAAUUACAGUCGUACCUUGGUUGUUGAACAGAAUCCAUUCCGAAAGUCUGUUUGACUUCCAAAAACAUUUGACAACCAAGGUGUGGCUUCCGAUUGGCUGCAGGAGCUUCCUAUACGCAAUCGGAAACUGUGGAAGCUGUGUUGUCUGGUUUCCAAAAAACAUUCACAAACCAGAACACUCACUUCUGGGUUUGCAGCGUUCAGGAGCCAAAACAUUAGAGUCGCAAAGCGUUCAGGAUCCAAGGUACAACCGUAUAAACAAGCCUCUUAUACACCUACCUUAAGUAUGUUUACAAACUCUAUGAAAAGUGUGAGCUUGUUUUUGAUGCAUGAACUAGUUUAUUUUAGAUCUAAUUUGAGUUAAACUAUCAUCUCCUCAUCAACACAAAGAAGACUUUCUCUUUUCUGAUCUUUUCUGAACCAUUAGGUACUGCAGGAUCCCUUUUGCAAAAAAAAAAAAACAACCUGAAGGAAUACACUGUAACUUUUUAUAUGUCAGUCACUGCAGUCUAUUGCUUAUUGAUACUUUCUAUCAUCCUCUUUUUUAUUUUUACCAAUGAAAGACACAAAUUGUUCAAUGAAAUAUCAGUUUACACAAUUAAACUUGGGCCAAAAUAAUAGAGACAGCAAUACUAAGGCCAUUUGGCCCCUAGUCAACCUCAGAGACCCUCUCAGGUCACAUAGCAGAAAUUCCUGAUAGGCAGCCCCUCCACAAACUGGUUAGACAGGUAUCUGCCAAGCAGACCUACCAAAAGGGUACCUUCUGUGUAUGAAUGGGGACAAUGGAUUCUGGAGUCAAGGUAUUGUCAGGCAUCUUGAUUGACAGACUUGUGAAAAUGUUGGAGAAACAUGAACACUGAGCAUGAUCUGAUUUACAGGUACAACCCAUUUUGUGAUGUAUCUGUGGUAUUUGUGGGGUGGGCUUUCUGUGAUGGGGCGGUCACACCCUGAGGGCUUAAAAACUGUAACAUGCUUUUGUUCUGGGCUCUUCCUCACCUCCUUACAAGGGGCGAGUUAGAGACUCUGUUGCAACUGUUCCAAUAAAACUGCCUUACUUCCUCCUUCCUGGUUGUAGCCUCCAUUUGUAUUUCUGAACAAAAGUGGACCUCAAGGGAUUCCAAAUUGCUUGAUGGGGAGUUGGGUUGUAAAAGUCAACCCCAGUUUCCUUACAACCUUAGGAAAAAGGAGACACUUUUAGAAAGUAAUCCUUUAAAGGCUACCCUCCAUCAUAUAAGCAGGACCAAUUAUUCAUAAUUCACUUCUGACAGAUGUUUAUAGUUCCUUUCUACAAACCACUUAAGCAAGCCUGCUUUUGCCUAAUUGGCUCAGGUGGUUUAACUGCAAGUAAGUGGCCUGUAGAUUGCAGCCUUCAUAACCUAUUUUAGUACUUUCAUAAAACCUCCCUUGGUAAUCUCUUCCAUUACCUGACUAUUUUUAUGGUUAUUAAAGCCUUCCUGAUAUUCGAUCUGCAUUUUCCUCACUUCUUAAUUAAAGACCAUUGACUCCCCCACUCCCCUUCACUCUCUGUGGCCAUAACUGGGAACUGUUCCCCAUUGCCUCCAACAACAUUUUACAUAGUUGUAAUGGUAUCUCACUUUAGCCUGCUCUCUUUGAAGUUUAACCAUUUCCUUACACAAUAUCCUGUUGAUGCCCAAAUCCUUUUUUAGUCUGUGAAUCCUCUCUAGCAUUACUGGGCACAAGGAACUGAAAAUGCAGGUGCAAUUUCACCACCUGAGGCCCAGCAACUGCCAAAUUAAAUGGCACAAUUUCAUUUGGUGAGGCAGAUAUGAGUCUCCCCCAUUUCUUAUUUGUACAACAUCGUGUGAUUGACUCAGAGGGAUGGAAGAAAUAUUAGAUCUCCUGAGUGUCUGGUCUUCUGAUCACCUACAACUUCGGUGCUAUUGGCAAGAAAUUUGAAACUGGUCUAGCUUUGUUGAUUCAUGUCUACUUGUCUCCACACAUUUCAGCAAUCUAGUCAGUACUUUUAGACUGCAAUCCUGUACACACUUACCUGGAAAUAAGUCCCAUUGAACUCAGUGGGACUUACUUCUGAGUUGACCUGUAAUGUUACUGAAUUUUGAAAUGCUCACGUGUAGACAUGGUGGAUAAAUUCAAUCCAUUUACACUUCCCAAAGCUAUAUAGAUGCAGCCAUCCUUCAAAAUCUGCCCUUCUCCCAAUUUUGUGAUGCAGUUCUCCAAUUAAAGCAACAACAACAAUCCAGAAAUGAAUAUAUUAGGCAGAAGUAUGCAUAAAAAUAAAUACAGCUGUGUAGUAACAUAAAAGAUGCAUUAUAUGAAGUGAAAUUGCUUGCAAAAAUGUGCCACAGUAUUUAAAAUGCACACUAAAAUGUUGACAAAUUUUCACGAGACCUUUUUCGGAGGAAAAAGUCUAAAAAUUGUGGGAAUGUGUUGAGCUCAAUUUAAGAUUGGAAAAAUGAGAAACCUAAAUUGAUUUGCCCAUCCUUACUCAAGUGGAAAAGAUGUUAUCCAGCACAGGAAUGACUAUUUAGCAAUCUAGGAACCCUGCCUAUCAGGAUUCCUGAGUGCACAGGGUCUUCUAAGCAUGACCAGUUGAAAGUCUUCAGAAGCCCCUCCAGACAAUUAUGCUCAACUUGAAAAAUGCUUGAGAGGAGCCCAUGUAUCUGGGUACACUGGGGAUGGGAUUUGCAUAUCACUUUCCAUGUCUGGGCAGAUAAAUGCUUGAAUAAGGGUUUCAAAAAUGGUCAUAAAAUAAUGGCUUGUUUAAGGACAUCUACUGAGUUUGUGACUAUUACAACAAGGGAUUAUAAAAUCAUAGAACUGAAGCGUUAGAAGGAAGCACUCCCUGCAAUGCAGGAAUCUUUUUGCCCAAAGCUGGGCUCGAACCCACGGCCCCGAGAUCAAGAGUCUCAUGCUCUACUGACCUUCUUGGCUUAGAACUCAUACAGCACAAUCCUAACAAUGGACUCAGCAGUCCUAUCGAAUCCCAUGAGUCUUAACCUCAGGAAAAUGAGUUUCAGAUUGCAGCCUCCUACCCAACACCAUUCUGCCAUGAACCUGAUUUCAGGCUGAGGUCCAUUGUGAUCACACCAACCAAUAUGUGAAGGGUCUAGCAUGAUGGGGAGAGCACUCUUGCAACAGUGAUUCAGGCCACUGGAUGAGCUUGCAUCCUUCCAACCUUGCUUGUAUACCCCAACAAGUGUUUGUAUACCCCAAUAAGCAAUUGACCACCCCUAACCCUAAAAUGCAAUGACAACACCCUACGAUAAAGGUACCACACAAUCCAAUUGUUGUGGGGUUUUGUCAAAACUAGUACUAAUUUUCUUUCAGUAUGAAAAUGGACUCAUGAAAUUUAUUUGUUUCUCUGCAUAAUAGAUGGACUGUUCGGUAAUACUUAACAAAAUUGAGGAGGGCUUUUUGUGCAUAAUAGCACCAUUAUUCAUUUUGAAAGCUCAAUAAAUUUAGAUUUCAUUAUAUUGUGCACAAUGAGAUGCUAUCAAAUAAGAUGUUGGUAGAUACACACAGGGACACGGACACACACACACACACACAAUUUUGUUAUUAUAGCCUGCUGGAAGUAAGGAUGUAUUUCAUACAACUGGGUGUGUCGUGGCAUGCUCACUCAUCUAUUUGAUACAAGUGGUUAUUAUUUUUUCUAGACUGUUGAAACUCUCAAGAAGCAAAUGAAUGGGAAAGAAUGGAUACAUUUUAUAAAGAUCUAUACAGGUUUCCUCUAUGGAGAAUGACUAAGAAUUCAAAGUUAAACAAGCAGGGAGAAUUUGUGGCAAGAAAAGAAGAGAGAAAUGAAUAAAAGAACUUCUGUCAGCAAGCACAGUGUGAAAAUAAUGAAGGAAAAGGAAAGAGACACUAACAAUAAUAUUUCCAUUUUCUAAAUUAAUAUAAUCCAAAAAAAAUCUGAAGCAACAAUAAUGUAGUUCCAUUCCUCUUGUUACUCUGAUAUAUAUGAGAUUAAAAUGGGC